rnacentral:lncRNA from 1 species
UUUAGCACAUCAGAGCUUUAUCCAUCGUGAUCUCAAACCAUCAAACAUUCUUCUCGGAGAUGAUUUACGGGCUAAAGUAGCUGACUUUGGGUUGGUUCGUCUUGCUCCUGAAGGGAAGGCAUCGAUUGAAACAAGACUAGCGGGAACAUUUGGCUAUCUUGCCCCUGAAUAUGCAGGUAUACACUCUUCUCUUGUCCUUUUUGCUAUGAAACUCUAUGUUGCAAGUUAAUGACAUGUUGAGGAAACAACUAAGUUACAUUUUAUAUCAAACAAUUGCUUCAUUCUAUUGUUUAUAUUUUGAACAAGUUUUACCUUUCUGAUGCAUGUUGGAUUGUGAAUGUAGUUAAGUACAAUAAUUAGUUGGCACUAUAUUUGUCCACCUAGCAAUCGCCUUUUAGUAACCAUUUUCUUCUGUUGAUAUAUACUAACAUUCUAUUCUACAUCAAUGGCUGGUGGAGCAGUAACUGGACGAGUUACAACCAAGGUCGAUGUUUAUAGCUUUGGGGUGAUCCUCAUGGAGAUGAUAUCUGGUAGAAAAGCAAUCGACGAGAGCCAGCCAGAAGAAAGUUUGCACCUUGUAUCAUGGUUCCGCAGAAUGCACAUUAACAAGGACACUUUCUCAAAGGCCAUAGACCCUUCAAUCGACAUAGACGAGGAGACCCUUGUCAGCAUCAACACAGUUGCAGACUUGGCUGGUCAUUGCUGUGCAAGAGAGCCAUACCAACGGCCCGACAUGGGUCAUGCAGUCA